UGUACCAUUUUAGCAUUAGGGAGCGUCUCCGUGGCUUCCAACGGGUGCUCCAGACUGGGUCGCCCGAUGUAGACGUCCUGCGUGUGGCUGUACUGCGACAACAGCCUCAAGAGGGCGCCCAUGUUCAGGCCACACAAAAUCCCAUAUGACAUUGACUUCCUGUCUGCUGGCUCGCCAUGGAAAACACAAAGUCAGCAUUCGUCUGCUUCCUGAUGCCCGCAGCAGCGCUAUCUGUGCGCGUUACUCACCCAUCCGCUUCCUCAGCGCCGCGUCCUCGCCGUCGGUGAACACGCUUUGAUCAGCGCGUGACUGACCAAGAGCCGCCGUCAUGUCAAGGGCAAAAGCCACAGUUGGCACUUCCCAAGAGAAAUCAGCUGAGGUUCCCAGGGUGCGC